rnacentral:rRNA from 1 species
GCGCAGCAGUCGCGAAACUUUACAAUGUGCGAAGCACGAUAAGGGAACUCUGAGUGCCUCCUAAGGAGGCUGUUCUGAUGUCUAAAAGCAACAGAAGUAAGGGCUGGGUAAGACCGGUGCCAGCCGCCGCGGUAACACCGGCAGCCCAAGUGGUAGCCACGUUUAUUGGGUCUAAAGCGUUCGUAGCCGGCCAGGUAAGUUCCUUGGUAAAUUUAGCCGCUUAACGGUUAAGCUUUCAGGGAAUACUGCUUGGCUUGGGACUGGGAGAGGUCAGAGGUACUCCGGGGGUAGGGGUGAAAUCUAUUAAUCCCUGGGGGACCACCGGUAGCGAAGGCGUCUGACCAGACCAGGUCCGACGGUGAGGGACGAAGGCUAGGGGCGCGAACCGGAUUAGAUACCCGUGUAGU